CCCAGACCCAGAGCCCAAAUUGUUCAUUUGGAUAGUAUACUCCAUUGCAUUAACACCUAAAAUAAAAAGCCAAAAAAAAAAAUGGCAGUCCCUGUGGCGGCCGAAAAUUUCAGGCGUGGGAUUUUCGGAAGAGGCCAGGGGACCAGUGUAUUCGACACUUUUGCAGCUUCACGGGGGUUCUUGCCGUCAACACAAAUCAACACUAAUUGAAUGGAAGUGCGUCUGGACUACAUCCACUCUGAACUGCCCAAUAACCAUCCUCUACAUCAUAAUCAUAUAAUCAACUCGGCGAAAAAUAAUACAAGGAUGCUAUAAUAUAAACGCUCAUAAUAUCAACUACACGGAAUAUAAUACGAAAAGAAUAAUAUAAUACGAAUAAUAAUACAAAAUACAACAGUGCACAGGCUAUACUCUGCGAAACAUAAUACACGACUGCUAUAACACGGAUAACUCGAAUCUGCAACACAAUAAUGCAAGGAAACUAUGGUGCGAAGGCUGAACUCUGCAAAAAAAUAAUACACGACUGCUAUAACACGGAAUACUGGAAUGUGGAUUUCAAUAAUGUAAGGAUAGUAUGGUGCGAAGGCUAAACUCUUAGAAGAAUAAUACAAGACUACUGACACGGAUACUCGAAUCUGCAAUACAAUAAUGCAAGGAUACUGUGGUGCAAUGGCUAAACUCGGCGAAAAAAAAAGACUUCUAUGAUACUGAAUACUCGAAUCGGGAACACAAUAACACAAGGAUGUUUUGGAACAAAGGCUAAACUCUGCGACAAAAAAAAAUACAAGGCUGCUAUUAACGAAUCGUAGGACUCUAAACUGGAAUCUGCUGCGCUUAUUAGAUGUAAUCCAUCCCACUUUGUUUAGUAUACGAAUUUUGUUUGCGAUAUCUCUGAAUGUCUUAAUAAAGCGUACACGUCAAAAAGGAAA